CAGUUCGGGUGUUUUGUGUUGUCCUGAGGCAUAUCAGGUGGAUAAUUAAAAAGACAGCUCAAGUCAGAGUGUUCAGCUCCUGUCUGGGAAAAAGACACAGAAUAGUUGUCUGUGUGAGCUCACUGAGAGGAUUGAAAUCACCACAAGUGACCAUUGUGCCACAGUUACUGAGAAGACUCUGAAAGAAAGCUAUAUCUGAACAAGAAUGGUAUAAGAGAUGGAGAAAAUAUGAAGAGUAACAUAUGCUGUGUUCACUGAGGCCAGAAUAGGCAAUACAACUGUUGGGACUGAGGAAUCACCAACUGUGCAAAAGAGGAGAGGAUGGGACUGAGUUGUCCAAAAAAAGGAACCGGGAAGUGGGAGAUGAGCUUGAACAGUUUUGACAGAGAAACAAACAGCCUCCUAAAGACUAUCAUCUCCUCAGGGUUCUUGUUGCCAGACCUUCCUUCCUCAACACAAAGAAAAGGACAAAUUCCAUGUGAGGAGGUAACAGGAUCUAAAGGGAAUAUCUUCCAGAUGGAAAUAACAGGAAGUUUUUCAUCUUCAAAAGUACAAAUGUUUGAUAGUAGUAAAGGAGAAUCUGCAGAAUGGAAUAGUGCAAUUAAAUUGUGCAUAAAACUGAGGAGACUAAAUUAUUUUCUUCUGAUCAAGCUGGUAUGUGAUAAAGAUUGGUUUUACAGCUUAACCCUAUGGUUAAUGCUAAUAUAAAUAUUGCUGCUUCAUCUAUCAUGUUGAUUUACAUUCCAGUUUCCUGUGAAGGAAGAGUACCAAGAUCAUGGUUGAAAUAACCCAUGGUGCCCUCUUGGGAAUUGUGUUGUCAUAAUAAAAAAUGUUUACUUUUUAUUAUUCUUUAUUAUUAUUAACCUACAUAGAGUUGAUAUAUUAUUUGGUUCUUUACCGAGAAUGUUUAAUCAUUCAG